GCAGUCGAACGCGAAAGCCCCCUUCGGGGGGCAAGUAGAGUGGCGCACGGGUGAGUAACACGUAGGUAAUCUACCUUUGGAUUGGGAAUAACCACCGGAAACGGUGGCUAAUACCGAAUAAUGCAGCGGCACCUAAUGGUGACAGUUGUUAAAGCGGGGGAUCGCAAGACCUCGCGUCUAAAGAGGAGCCUGCGGCGGAUUAGCUAGUUGGUAGGGUAACGGCUUACCAAGGCGAUGAUCCGUAGCCGGCCUGAGAGGGCGGUCGGCCACACUGACACUGACAUACGGGUCAGACUCCUACGGGAGGCAGCAGUCGGGAAUUUUGGGCAAUGGGCGAAAGCCUGACCCAGCAACGCCGCGUGAAGGAUGAAAUCCCUCGGGAUGUAAACUUCGCAAGAACGGGAAGAAUAAGGGAGAGUUAACACCUCUUUCGAUGACGGUACUGUUUGUAAGCUCCGGCUAACUCCGUGCCAGCAGCCGCGGUAAUACGGGGGGAGCAAGCGUUGUUCGGAUUUACUGGGCGUAAAGGGCGCGUAGGCGGCCACCGCAAGUCGACUGUGAAAUCUCCGGGCUUAACCCGGAAAGGUCAGCCGAUACUGCGGGGCUAGAGUGCAGAAGGGGCAACUGGAAUUCUCGGUGUAGCGGUGAAAUGCGUAGAUAUCGAGAGGAACACCUGCGGCGAAGGCGGGUUGCUGGGCUGACACUGACGCUGAGGCGCGAAAGCUAGGGGAGCGAACGGGAUUAGAUACCCCGGUAGUCCUAGCCUUAAACGAUGAAUGCUUGGUGUCUGGGGUUACAUAGUCCCCCGGGUGCCGUCGCUAACGCUUUAAGC
rnacentral:rRNA from 1 species